AGAUGCUAUCUUGGAAAAGCUAUAUCUAGCUCGCGUCGAUGGAAUAGAUGUCGCGGGUAAAUCAGGAGAACUGGUUCGAGGUUGUAUGUUGCUACCGAGUUUAUCAGCUGGUGGCAUUGCUGGAAACUCGAGACAGUCUCUCUGAACGUGCCCCGAUUUCUUGCAGAGACGACAAGACGGGAGACUGGUAGAUGUUCUUUCCUUUAAAACCUGUAGAGAGGUAAAAUAAAAACACCGGAGAAAACGGAGGUCUAGAUUUGACGAACACUUCCGUGACAGAAGAGAGUUUGGAGAAAUGCACCUUGGUGCACACUCAUAUCAACUCUCCCUGUCACGUGAUGCUCGCUUCCUCCUAGGAAAUAAAAGAGAGAAAAUGGGCUGUCCUUUCGACGGUACAGGCCACGAUGUUACUUUGGUGAAACCGUAUCGCGAUGGCGUCUUUGGCGCCAUUUCAGCAGAAGAACUGACUGGAGGAUCCUCAUCAGGUGUUACAGACGGGAAAUCAGUACAGU